CUAGUACUCCCUCUGUCUGAAAAUACUUGUCAUCAAAAUAGAUAAAAAAGAUGUAUCUACACGUAUUUUAGUUUUAGAUACAUGUCUUUUUAUUCAUUUUGAUGAUAAAUAUUUUCGGACGGAGGAAGCAUAAA
rfam:Triticum aestivum genome assembly, contig: Triticum_aestivum_CS42_TGACv1_scaffold_031568_1BL